GUGAAGUUUGUCACUUCUUUGUGUCAC
rnacentral:piRNA from 1 species